GACGAGCGGCGGACGGGUGAGUAAUGCAUAGGAAACUGCCCAGUAGUGGGGGAUAGCCCGGGGAAACCCGGAUUAAUACCGCGUACGCCCUUCGGGGGAAAGCAGGGGAUCUUCGGACCUUGCGCUAUUGGAUGUGCCUAUGUCGGAUUAGCUAGUUGGUGGGGUAAAGGCCUACCAAGGCGACGAUCCGUAGCUGGUCUGAGAGGAUGAUCAGCCACAUCGGGACUGAGACACGGCCCGAACUCCUACGGGAGGCAGCAGUGGGGAAUAUUGGACAAUGGGGGCAACCCUGAUCCAGCCAUGCCGCGUGUGUGAAGAAGGCUUUCGGGUUGUAAAGCACUUUCAGUGAGGAGGAAAACUCUGCGACUAAUACUCGUAGGGCUUGACGUUACUCACAGAAGAAGCACCGGCUAACUCCGUGCCAGCAGCCGCGGUAAUACGGAGGGUGCAAGCGUUAAUCGGAAUUACUGGGCGUAAAGCGCGCGUAGGUGGUUUGAUAAGCGAGAUGUGAAAGCCCCGGGCUUAACCUGGGAACGGCAUUUCGAACUGUCAGGCUAGAGUAUGGUAGAGGGUAGUGGAAUUUCCUGUGUAGCGGUGAAAUGCGUAGAUAUAGGAAGGAACACCAGUGGCGAAAGGCGGCUACCUGGACC
rnacentral:rRNA from 1 species